GACGAACGCUGGCGGCGUGCUUAACACAUGCAAGUCGAACGAUGAAGAAGAGAAACGCGAACUUCGGUUCAACUUUCACUUCGGAUUAGUGGCAGACGGGUGAGUAACGCGUGAGCAACCUACCUCUUACAAAGGGAUAGCCUCGGGAAACCGUGAUUAAUACCAUAUGACACAUUCAUAAGGCAUCUUAAGAAUGUUAAAGCUACGGCGGUAAGAGAUGGGCUCGCGUCCCAUUAGCUAGUUGGUGAGGUAACGGCCAACCAAGGCGACGAUGGGUAACCGGCCUGAGAGGGUGAACGGUCACAUUGGAACUGAGACACGGUCCAAACUCCUACGGGAAGCAGCAGUGGGGAAUAUUGCACAAUGGAGGGAACUCUGAUGCAGCGACGCCGCGUGAGCGAUGAAGGAAUUCGUUUCGUAAAGCUCUGUUCUAUGGGAAGAAAAGGACUGUACCAUAGGAGAAAGCCCCGGCUAAAUACGUG
rnacentral:rRNA from 1 species